GCUCCCGCAGGGGCGGCCGCCGGGGGGAUGGCGUCCGCUCGAGGCCCGAGCUUCGCCGCGCGUGUUUUGGCUGCACGGCCCGGGCGCGCCGACUCCGACAGCGGGACGAGGCCUGCGCGGACUCGAGAGUUUGGGAUUUUAUUUAUUCAUGAGAGGCCCAGAGAGAGAGACACACAGGCAGAGGGAGAAGCAGGCUCCAUGCAGGGAGCCCGACGUGGAACUCGAUCCCGGGUCUCCAGGAUCACACCCUGGGCUGUAGGCAGUGAUAAACCGCUGAGCCACCCGGGCUGCCCACCACACAGUGAGAGAGAGAGAGAGAGGCAGAGACACAGGCAGAGGGAGAAGCAGGCUCCAGGCACCGGGAGCCCGACGUGGGAUUCGAUCCCGGGACUCCAGGAUCGCGCCCUGGGCCAAAGGCAGGCACCAAACCGCUGCACCACCCGGGGAUCCCCAAUUUCUUAUUUUAAUAUAUUUUAGUUUCUUGGUGAAAAUUUUAUCAUCUACAGAUAAUGACAGUUUUAUUUAUAGCUUUCUAAUAUUCAAAAAUACUGCACUCUAGGAUAUCAGGGAAACAUUGAAUAGAAGUAAUGGUAACAGGCAUCCUUCCUUGUUCCUGAUAAAGGAAAUUAUGUUAAACUUUAAAGUGUGGUUUUGCGGGCACCUGGGUGGCUCAGUGGUUGGGCGUCUGCCGUCAGCUCAGGUCAUCCUGGGGUCCUGGAAUCAAGUCCCAUAUCAGGCUCCCUGCAUGGAGCUUGCUUCUCCCUCUGCCUGUGUCUCUUCCUCUCUCUGUGUCUCUCAUGAAUAAAUAAAGAAAAUCUUAAACCAAAAAAAAAAAAAAAAAGUGGUUUUGCUAUAGCUCUCGGUAGCUGUCCGUUAUGAGAUGAUGCAAAUUCCCUUCUAUUUCUGUUUUUGUUGUUGUUGUUGUUGAACUUUAUUAAAAUGCUUAUGGUAGGUGCCUUUUAUCAGCUUAUGAAAGCCCUUUCUCUACUGGCUUGCUGAGAGUUAUUAUCAUGAUGGAUGUUGAGUUUUAUCAAACCUAUCUUAGGUCUCUUAAGAUGACCCUAUAGUUUUUCUCCCUUAGUUAAUAUGAAUUGUACUAAUAGUUUGCUUAAUCAGCCUUAUCUUGACCUAUCAUGAUCAUUUUGUGCUACUUUCUUAUUUAAUCUAUGUUCAUGAGUGAGUUUAGUGUAUAAUUUGUCAUAGUCUUUUUGUUUUGUUUUGAUGUCUUGAUUAGGCUACUCAUAAAUGAGUUAGGUAGUAGUUCCUAUUUUUCUUUUUCUCAGGAAGAGUUUGUAUAAGAUUGAAAUUACCUGUUCCUUGAAUGUUUAUUAAAACUUACUUGGACGGGAUCCCUGGGUGGCGCAGCGGUUUAGCGCCUGCCUUUGGCCCAGGGCGCGAUCCUGGAGACCCUGGAUCGAAUCUCACGUCGGGCUCUGGGUGCAUGGAGCCUGCUUCUCCCUCUGCCUAUGUCUCUGCCUCUCUCUCUCUCUCUCUCUCUCUCUCUCUCUCUCUCUGUGACUAUCAUAAAUAAAUAAA